rnacentral:rRNA from 1 species
GACGAACUGUGCAAACGUUAUUCGGAAUCACUGGGCUUAAAGAGUCCGUAGGCGGCAUGUUAGGUGAGGUGUGAAAUCCCCCGGCUCAACCGAGGAAUUGCGCUUCAAACCGGCGUGCUAGAGGAAGAUAGAGGUGGGCGGAACUGAUGGUGGAGCGGUGAAAUGCGUUGAUAUCAUCAGGAACACCGGAGGCGAAGGCGGCCCACUGGGUCUUUUCUGACGCUGAGACACGAAAGCCAGGGGAGCAAACGGG